UCGAGGAUUGUUUAUUCUCAACCACAUGUCGGGAUCUUGCAUCAUACAAGUGGCUAGAUAUGAGCAGUCCAAUCGGGUUACUAUUGCUCCCUAGCAUGCACGCUGAGACCUGCAUUGCACGUGCAGCUGAUCUGGUCAUACGCGUAGACUAACAUCCUGACACACCUCCCAAAAAGUAUAUGUGUGCCAUGAUGGGUCCCAAAGACCAACUAUUAUUCUUUUCCAUAAUUUCAUCAUCCUUUUCAUAACGAACCAGGGGAAGGUACAACACAUGGUGUGUAGUCACACAAAACCCAUAUCCCAAACCACAUAUUUAUAAUCAUAAUAAUAAUACUACCCAAAGUACAACAUAAAAUCAUUAAAACUUCACAACAUCCCAAUUCUAUUAAAACACAUUUCAACCCUACCAAAGGUGGCUGGACGGUGACAAACUCGCCGUCUAAAACUCUGGCGUCGCGUGGCUGGGAGAGAGAGAGAUAAACUAGAAAAAAAGGAAUCUGGUCUAUACUUAAAUUAGAACUUUGCGAUAUUUACGGUUGUGCCACUGCACUUAUGUACAUCAUAACUUUUUCAUUAUAAAUUGGAAUUGAGCCUACCGCAUAUCCACGAACUCGUAUUCAUGUACUCUAUGCAACGGUGCUACUCAUUUCCCCAAAUUCUUCCUGAACAAAAAGUGCCUAAAGUACCCC
rnacentral:lncRNA from 1 species